CGGAGGUUUUGCGGUAUGGAAUCUGCAUGACCUAGUUGGAAUAUAAGGCACCGGUUACCGGUGCAGAGUUGCAAAGUGUCUGCCCUAGGAUCGACUGCGAUGCCGGUGAGGAGUGACCGCCAUUCGUAGUCUUCGCGCUCGAAGAUGAAUGUUGUUUUGAUCCAGUUUUCCACUAUGGAGGCGAAGGCUGUAACAGUCACGGUUAUCUUGCUUCCGUGCAUGUUGACGGUGUAUGUGCUGUGAUCGGAGUUGUGCUGGUGGUUGUUGACGGUAGCCAUGUUUUUUUCUGGAAAAAUAUCGAUAGAGAAUGCUCUCUCUGAAUUGAACCAACGAUGCUCUUUUUUGCUCAAAAACUUGUUUUAUGAUUGAGAUGAGUUAUGAGUUCCUAAGCCCUAAGUAAUUCCUUAUAUAUGGGCAAAGACUUGAGAAAAUUAAGGGUUGUUAUGUGUAACAAACUCAUAAUUUGUUAUUAUUUGUUAUGAU
rnacentral:lncRNA from 1 species